GGUACUUCCAUAGCUACAUAGGACUUGAUGAAAGUUCACUGCUUGAAGGGGAUUGAACAGGGUAGAUCUUGUUUAUGCAAAAGAAAAAAAACUGUUUUGUUACAAAGCAGAAACAGAACAGGGGACCAGCCUGGGUUUGGAGAGUAUUUCAGACAUUGCAGAAGGCAAAACAAGAUUUUCUUUGGCUGUCUAUCCUACCAAAUUUUUAUUUUAUUCUCUUGGUAAAAUGCAUACAAAUGGGACCCCACAAAAGGAAUGAGUUGUUGAUUUUGGGGAUUGGUUACCUAUCUAAAUCAGAAGACCACAUGAUUAGCAUGUGAUUUCCAUUUGUUUCCAAAUUAGCAUCCUUUUAUUUUUCUUUCCAUUAAUCCAGUGAGAAUGUAACUGGUACCACCUAA